GGUUAGACGCUGGCGGCGUGCCUAUACAUGCAAGUCGAGCGGAGAUUUGAAAAGCUUGCUUUUCAAAUCUUAGCGGCGGACGGGUGAGUAACACGUGGGCAACCUGCCCUUGAGACGGGGAUAACUCCGGGAAACCGGAGCUAAUACCGGAUAACACAUAUCUUCGCAUGAGGAUAUGUUAGAAGGUGGCUUUUAGCUACCACUCAAGGAUGGGCCCGCGGCGCAUUAGCUAGUUGGUGAGGUAACGGCUCACCAAGGCGACGAUGCGUAGCCGACCUGAGAGGGUGAUCGGCCACACUGGGACUGAGACACGGCCCAGACUCCUACGGGAGGCAGCAGUAGGGAAUCUUCCGCAAUGGACGAAAGUCUGACGGAGCAACGCCGCGUGAGUGAUGAAGGUUUUCGGAUCGUAAAGCUCUGUUGUUAGGGAAGAACAAGUACCUGUUAAAUAAGCAGGUACCUUGACGGUACCUAACCAGAAAGCCACGGCUAACUACGUGCCAGCCCGCCGCGUUAA
rnacentral:rRNA from 2 species